UUCGCAAUGCCCGAAAGGGUGACGAAGCGACGCCGCGUGUGGGAAGAAGGCCUUCGGGUUGUAAACCACUGUCGGGAGUUAAGAAAUGCAGGAGCGUUAAUAGCGUACUUGCUUGACUAAGGCUCCGGAGGAAGCCACGGCUAACUCUGUGCCAGCAGCCGCGGUAAUACAGAGGCGGCAAGCGUUGUUCGGAAUUAUUGGGCGUAAAGAGCAUGUAGGCGGCCUUGCAAGUCGGUUGUGAAAGCCUUCCGCUUAACGGAAGAAUGGCAUCUGAUACUACAGGGGUUGAGUACGGGGAGGGGAGAGUGGAAAUUUCUGGGGGGAGCGGUGAAAUGCGUAGAUACCAGAAGGAACGCCGGCGGCGAAAGCGACUCUCUGGCCCGAAACUGACGCUGAGUGUGCGAAAGCUAGGGGAGCAAACGGGAUUAGAUACCCCGGUAGUCCUAGCCGUAAACGAUGGGCACUAAGUAGAGGGGUUUU
rnacentral:rRNA from 1 species